rnacentral:rRNA from 1 species
GACGAACGCUGGCGGCGUGCUUAACACAUGCAAGUCGAACGGUGAAGCGCCUUCCUUUUUGGUGGGUGUGGAUGAGUGGCGAACGGGUGAGUAACACGUGAGUAACCUGCCCCCUUCUUCUGGAUAACCGCAUGAAAGUGUGGCUAAUACGGGAUAUUCUGGGUCUGUCGCAUGAUGGGUCUGGGAAAGAUAUUGUUUCGGUGGGGGAUGGGCUCGCGGCCUAUCAGCUUGUUGGUGGGGUGAUGGCCUACCAAGGCGGUGACGGGUAGCCGGCCUGAGAGGGUGGACGGUCACACUGGGACGGAGACACGGCCCAGACUCCUACGGGCGGCAGCAGUGGGGAAUAGUGCACAAUGGGCGCAAGCCUGAUGCAGCGACGCCGCGUGAGGGAUGGAGGCCUUCGGGUUGUGAACCUCUUUCGCCAGUGAAGCAGGCCUGCCUAGUUUGUGGGUGGGUUGACGGUAGCGGGAGAAGAAGCGCCGGCUAACUACGUG